rnacentral:rRNA from 1 species
CAAGGGUAAUAUACUUGAGCAUUGACGUUAUCUACAGAAGAAGCACUGGCUAACUCUGUGCCAGCAGCCGCGGUAAUACAGAGAGUGCAAGCGUUAAUCGGAAUCACUGGGCGUAAAGCGCGCGUAGGUGGAUGUUUAAGUCGGAUGUGAAAGCCCUAGGCUUAACCUAGGAACUGCAUUCGAUACUGAAUAUCUCGAGUAUGGUAGAGGGAAGUGGAAUUUCCGGUGUAGCGGUGAAAUGCGUAGAUAUCGGAAAGAACACCAGUGGCGAAGGCGGCUUCCUGGACCAAUACUGACACUGAGGUGCGAAAGCGUGGGGAGCAAACAGGAUUAGAGACCCUGGUAGUCCACGCCGUCAACGAUGAGAACUAGCUGUUGGGAAGUUUACUUUCUAGUAGCGAAGCUAACGCGUUAAGUUCUCCGCCUGGGGAGUACGGCCGCAAGGUUAAAACUCAAAGAAAUUGACGGGGGCCCGCACAAGCGGUGGAGCAUGUGGUUUAAUUCGAUGCAA